rnacentral:snoRNA from 1 species
CAUCGUGAUGAUUUUUUCGGAUUCAAAUUAUAUACGCUGGAAAUUACCGGCUGAGAUUUUUCGUUGACGAUAUCAAUUGGCUAUUUCUGAUU